rnacentral:rRNA from 1 species
UACGGAGGAGGCAAGCGUUAUCCGGAAUUAUUGGGCGUAAAGCGUCCGCAGGUGGCACUUCAAGUCUGUCGUCAAAGACUGGGGCUUAACCCUGGAAAGGCGGUGGAAACUGAAGCGCUAGAGUGCGGUAGGGGUAGAGGGAAUUCCCGGCGUAGCGGUGAAAUGCGUAGAGAUCGGGAAGAACAUCGGUGGCGAAAGCGCUCUGCUGGACUGCAACUGACACUCAGGGACGAAAGCUAGGGGAGCGAAUGGG